rnacentral:rRNA from 1 species
UACGUGGGGCGCAAGCGUUGUCCGGAAUUAUUGGGCGUAAAGAGCUCGUAGGCGGCUUGUCACGUCGGGUGUGAAAGCCCGGGGCUUAACCCCGGGUCUGCAUUCGAUACGGGCUAGCUAGAGUGUGGUAGGGGAGAUCGGAAUUCCUGGUGUAGCGGUGAAAUGCGCAGAUAUCAGGAGGAACACCGGUGGCGAAGGCGGGUCUCUGGGCCGAUACUGACGCUGAGGAGCGAAAGCGUGGGGAGCGAACAGG